AUACGGAGGGUGCAAGCGUUGUCCGGAUUUAUUGGGUUUAAAGGGUGCGUAGGUGGCGUGUUAAGUCAGUGGUGAAAGCCUGCAGCUCAACUGUAGAGGUGCCAUUGAUACUGACAUGCUUGAGUAUGGACGAGUUAGGCGGAAUUUGUGGUGUAGCGGUGAAAAGCAUAGAUACCACAAAGAACACCGAUAGCGAAGGCAGCUUACUGGACCAUAACUGACACUGAGGCACGAAAGUGUGGGUAGCGAACAGGAUUAGAAACCCUAGUAGUCC
rnacentral:rRNA from 1 species